CUUUUUUUUUCUUUUUUUCCUUUUUUUUUUCUUUUAAAAUUUUCCAUUUUAAGUUGGUUAUUUCUGAUUAAUAUUUAAAAGCAAAUAAUAAUGAUAUGGUAGGAGAUUCACACCAAACAGGAUGUGUUAAUUAUUAUAUAAUAAGUAUUGUGCAAUAGCAAGAAAUUUUCAAUUGCACAGUAUUGCACAAUUGCAAGAAAUCUUCAAUUGCACAGUAUUGCGCAACAGCAAGAAAUCUUCAAUUGCACAGUAUUGCGCAAUAGCAAGAAAUAUCCAAUAGCACAAUAUUGCGCAAUAGCAAGAAAUUGUCAAUUGUACAGUAUUGCACAAUAGCAAGAAAUAUUCAAUUGCACAGUAUUGUGCAAAAGAAGAUACUUCGUAUAAAUUGCUUAUUUCUUGAUCAAUUUCAAUGGGGUUUUAUUUUUGAAUUCUUGGGGUUCUUUAAUAUGCUGAAUCUAACCGUGUAUUAAGUUUUUGGAUUUUGGGCCCCGUUUUUAAAUUGGUCCACAUUGAGGUCCAAAGGGUCCAAAAUUUAACUUUGUUUGAUUUCAUCAAAAAUUGAAUUAUUGGGGUUCUUUGAUAUGCCGAAUCUAACCGCGUAUUUAGAUUCUUAAUUUUUGGUUCCGUUUUCAAAUUGGUCUACAUUAAGGUCAAAAGGGUCCAAAAUUAAACUUUGUUUGAUUUUAACAAAAAUUGAAUUUUUAGGGUACUUUGAUAUGCUGAAUCUAAACAUGUAUUUAGAUUUUUGAUUAUGGGCCCAGUUUUCAAGUUGGUCCAAAUCGGGGUCCAAAAUUAAACUUUGUUUGAUUUCAACAAAAAUUGAAUAUAUGGGGUUCUUUGAUAUGCUGAAUCUAACCAUGUAUUUAGAUUUUUGAUUUUUGGGCCCCGUUAUCAACUUUGUCCACAUUGAGGUCAAAAGGGUCCAAAAUUAAACUUUGUUUGAUUUCAUCAAAAAUUGAAUUCUUGGGGUUCUUUGAUAUGCUGAAGCUAACCAUGUAUUUAGAUUUUUUAUUUGUGGACCCGCUAUCAAAUUGGUUCAUAUUGAGGUCAAAAGGGUCCAAAAUUAAACUUUGUUUGAUUUCAUCAAAAAUGAAUUAUUGGGGUUCUUUGAUAUGCCAAAUCUAACCGUGUAUUUAGAUUUUUAAUUUUGAGUCCCGUUUUUAAAUUGGUCUACAUUAAGGUCCAAAGGGUCCAAAAUUAAACUUAGUUUGAUUUUAACAAAAAUUGAAUUUUUGGGGUUCUUUGAUAUGCUGAAUCUAAACAUGUGUUUAGAUUUUUGAUUAUGGGCCCAGUUUUCAAGUUGGUCCAAGUUGGGGUCCAAAAUUAAACUUUGUUUGAUUUCAACAAAAAUUGAAUAUAUGGGGUUCUUUGAUAUGCUGAAUCUAAACAUGUAUUUAGAUUUUAGAUUUUUGGCCCAGUUUUCAAGUUGGUCCAAAUUGGGGUCCAAAAUUAAACUUUGUUUGAUUUCAACAAAAAUUGAAUAUAUGGGGUUCUUUGAUAUGCUGAAUCUUACCAUGUAUUUAGAUUUUUUAUUUGUGGGCCCGCUAUCAAAUUGGUUCAUAUUGAGGUCAAAAGGGACCAAAAUUAAACUUUGUUUGAUUUCAUCAAAAAUUGAAUUAUUGGGGUUCUUUGAUAUGCCAAAUCUAACCGUUUAUUUAGAUUUUUAAUUUUGGGUCCCGUUUUUUAAAUUGGUCUACAUUAAGGUCCAAAGGGUCCAAAAUUAAACUUAGUUUGAUUUUAACAAAAAUUGAAUUCUUGGGGUACUUUGAUAUGCUGAAUCUAAACAUGUGUUUAGAUUUUUGAUUAUGGGACCAGUUUUCAAGUUUGUCCAAGUUGGGGUCCAAAAUUAAACUUUGUUUGAUUUCAACAAAAAUUGAAUAUAUGGGGUUCUUUGAUAUGCUGAAUCUAACCAUGUAUUUAGAUUUUUUAUUUGUGGGCCCGCUAUCAAAUUGGUUCAUAUUGAGGUCAAAAGGGACCAAAAUUAAACUUUGUUUGAUUUCAUCAAAAAUUGAAUUAUUGGGGUUCUUUGAUAUGCCGAAUCUAACCGCGUAUUUAGAUUCUUAAUUUUUGGUUCCGUUUUCAAAUUGGUCUACAUUAAGGUCAAAAGGGUCCAAAAUUAAACUUUGUUUGAUUUUAACAAAAAUUGAAUUUUUAGGGUACUUUGAUAUGCUGAAUCUAAAAAUGUAUUUAGAUUUUUGAUUAUGGGCCCAGUUUUCAAGUUGGUCCAAAUCGGGGUCCAAAAUUAAACUUUGUUUGAUUUCAACAAAAAUUGAAUAUAUGGGGUUCUUUGAUAUGCUGAAUCUAACCAUGUAUUUAGAUUUUUGAUUUUUGGGCCCCGUUAUCAACUUUGUCCACAUUGAGGUCAAAAGGGUCCAAAAUUAAACUUUGUUUGAUUUCAUCAAAAAUGAAUUAUUGGGGUUCUUUGAUAUGCCAAAUCUAACCGUGUAUUUAGAUUUUUAAUUUUGAGUCCCGUUUUUAAAUUGGUCUACAUUAAGGUCCAAAGGGUCCAAAAUUAAACUUAGUUUGAUUUUAACAAAAAUUGAAUUUUUGGGGUUCUUUGAUAUGCUGAAUCUAAACAUGUGUUUAGAUUUUUGAUUAUGGGCCCAGUUUUCAAGUUGGUCCAAGUUGGGGUCCAAAAUUAAACUUUGUUUGAUUUCAACAAAAAUUGAAUAUAUGGGGUUCUUUGAUAUGCUGAAUCUAAACAUGUAUUUAGAUUUUAGAUUUUUGGCCCAGUUUUCAAGUUGGUCCAAAUUGGGGUCCAAAAUUAAACUUUGUUUGAUUUCAACAAAAAUUGAAUAUAUGGGGUUCUUUGAUAUGCUGAAUCUUACCAUGUAUUUAGAUUUUUUAUUUGUGGGCCCGCUAUCAAAUUGGUUCAUAUUGAGGUCAAAAGGGACCAAAAUUAAACUUUGUUUGAUUUCAUCAAAAAUUGAAUUAUUGGGGUUCUUUGAUAUGCCAAAUCUAACCGUUUAUUUAGAUUUUUAAUUUUGGGUCCCGUUUUUUAAAUUGGUCUACAUUAAGGUCCAAAGGGUCCAAAAUUAAACUUAGUUUGAUUUUAACAAAAAUUGAAUUUUUGGGGUUCUUUGAUAUGCUGAAUCUAAACAUGUGUUUAGAUUUUUGAUUAUGGGACCAGUUUUCAAGUUGGUCCAAGUUGGGGUCCAAAAUUAAACUUUGUUUGAUUUCAACAAAAAUUGAAUAUAUGGGGUUCUUUGAUAUGCUGAAUCUAAACAUGUAUUUAGAUUUUAGAUUUUUGGCCCAGUUUUCAAGUUGGUCCAAAUUGGGGUCCAAAAUUAAACUUUGUUUGAUUUCAACAAAAAUUGAAUAUAUGGGGUUCUUUGAUAUGCUGAAUCUUACCAUGUAUUUAGAUUUUUUAUUUUGUGGGCCUGCUAUCAAAUUGGUUCAUAUUGAGGUCAAAAGGGUCCAAAAUUAAUCUUUGUUUGAUUUCAUCAAAAAUUGAAUUAUUGGGGUUCUUUGAUAUGCCAAAUCUAACCGUGUUUUUAGAUUUUUAAUUUUGGGUCCCGUUUUUUAAAUUGGUCUACAUUAAGGUCCAAAGGGUCCAAAAUUAAACUUAGUUUGAUUUUAACAAAAAUUGAAUUCUUGGGGUACUUUGAUAUGCUGAAUCUAAACAUGUGUUUAGAUUUUUGAUUAUGGGACCAGUUUUCAAGUUUGUCCAAGUUGGGGUCCAAAAUUAAACUUUGUUUGAUUUCAACAAAAAUUGAAUAUAUGGGGUUCUUUGAUAUGCUGAAUCUAACCAUGUAUUUUGAUUUUGGACAUUGGACCAUAAUAGGUAAAUUAAAAAAAUUGAAGUUCUUAGACCACAUUCUUUCUGUGUCAGAAACCUAUGCUGUGUCAAAUAUUUAAUCACAAUCCAAAUUCAGAGCUGUAUCAAGCUUGAAUGUUGUGUCCAUACUUGCCCCAACUGUUCAGGGUUCGACCUCUGCGGUCGUAUCAAGCUGCGCCCAGCGAAGCAUUUUAUUGACAAUUGAACACUUUCUGGACCCAUUGUAUAAAAAAAUUUAACCAAAGUGUGGUUGCUGAUGAUCUCAGAAGUUCAAUAGAUGAGUUUAAGAGUCAUAACCUUUAUCAGCUAACUGGAUGAAUCAAAAUGUGCUUACAGGUGUUAAUGAAAUUGACAACUUUGUGGAAUGGCGAAGGCACUGCUGGAAGGGGAUUUUCAUUUAUCAAAAAUGAAAAUUUAUUCUAUAAUCAUUCAGUCAGGGGUACUACUUGUACAAGUAAUCUUUAUUUACUUGAAGAAGUAAAUAAAAUAUACUUAUAUAAGUUAAUUAUAAUGUUUGAAUAAUCUCCGCUUAAUUUUCUCAAAAAUUUACUUGUAUAAGUAAUUUUUUUUAACAAUCCCACAAAAAUUCUCAAGUUUUGAGAUGUAAAAACAUGCCUUUAACAAUUUUUCUCAAGUUAGCUCAUAAUUUUUUAUUAGAGUUCAAUGUUUCAUCUCAUUAAUUCAACAAAGAAACUGAUUGUGCAAAGAUCUUAAGUAUUUGCACAAGGUCUUCAAAAAUUACCCCUUGGGGGCUUGUAAAUGAUAAGUGUUCUGAAGAUAACAGACAAAUGAGAUUUUCAUUGUCCAUGAAAUUACACUUAAAUGAUUAGUAAAGACAUCUGUAAAGGACAGACAAUUAAAAAAUUCUAUUAGAGCAAAGAAGUCCUAAGAAUUCAAGAAAAGAAGAUAGGAUGACUUUUUUACUUGUAUAAGUAAAAAAUCUGAAUGUCUAAGGGACAUAACUAAGCCAAAAAAUUAUUUACCUAUACAAGUAAAUAAAAUACACUUGUAUAAGAAUCCUACAAAUUUACUUGUACAAGUAUAUUAAUAUUUACUUCUUCAAGUAAAUAAAAAUUACUUGUACAAGUAGUACCCCUGACUGUCAUUAGAGAAACAGGAUUCUAACAUAAAUGUUUUGUUUUAGUUACUCAUGGAUUCUCGGAUUUAUCCAAUCUCGAUAGUUAAAUUAUCAAUUUUAAAGUCCUCGCCAAGGCUCGGACUAUAAAAUUUUGAUAAUUCAACUAUCUCGAUUGGAUAAAUCGAUAAUCCACUGGUACCAAUGUAAGAAUCUAUAUGUAUACAUGUGCAAAUUAACAGUACAGGUUAUUUUUUUAUCUGGAUGUUUUUGUGUUUUAAACACCCAGUGGCAGAUAACAUAUGACUAUCAGGAUGUGAAAUGAUAACCAAAAAAAAGAAGGGCAUUGGGCUUUGGCAUUUGAAAUAGAAAUUGAAAUAGAUAUUAAUUUCACUUCUAAGGGCAUAUACAGCUACAAACAGGGCACAUGGAAUGGCAUUUCUAACUUGAAGAGCAUUAACAUGAUUAAGGCCUUUAAAACUUUUAACUGAAUAUAUAAAUGUUUUUGGGUGAAAAUAAACAACAAUAACAUUGAAUAGGUCAUUUCCUUACUCAGUGGUACAGCAGCUGUUCAGCAGCUGUUCAUUACAAUAUUUUAAUCAUAUUCUGUAACACUAAUUAUGAUUAGUAAAAUUCAAUUGUGUUGAAAUUAAAUAGCUUUUCAUGGAUAUAAAAGGGACAGAUAUUUAAUUUUGAAAAAUUGCAAUGCAAAGCAAGCCUUUCUUAUUAAAAAAAAAUGGAUUCUUUUCACUGUCAAUAACUGUUUGUUUGAUUUUUUUUUGUGCGUUUUACAUCAUGUACAUAGGACCACUGGUUUUGAAUUUGCUCUUUAUACUGCACUAAGAAAUAAACAAAUAUGUUAAAUUUAUGCAGUUUUACUUAUCCUUAUCACACAUUUUUUGUCACAUGGGUUUUAUUUCUUCACAUAACUAUUACAUGAACAAAUUUAAGCAGUAUUAUGACAUGUAUAGUGUAUGUAAUUGUUUUUAUAUCAUAUGAUUGCUUGAGAUUGAUAUAGUGAUCUGAUAUACUUUAAUUGGUACAAAUGGAAAUAAUCUUUUCUUCAGUACCAGUAUUUGAAAAAGUUAUAUGUGUAUUCACUUAUAUAGUAUAUGUAACUUACUGGCAUAUUACAUGAAUAAAGUAAAUAUAUGGUGACAGAAUAGAUGAUCAUGUUUCUAUAUCAUAUUGUUGUUGAUUGAUUAGAUUCACUAAUAACAAUGAAUAAGAGAAUGUCUUUAAUGGGAGAGUGAAGAGAAGUGGAAUUAGAGAGAGGAGAUAUUGAGUAUGAGGACAUGAAAGGAUAGAGAGAAAGGCAAACUGCCUAUUCUGAACUAUUUAAAGAAAGAAAAACUGAUGUAAACAUGAGGGUCUGGUUGGGGUUUACAGAUUAGAGAACAAUAAACCAAUACUGCAGAAAAAUGGGCUAAAAAAUAAAGAAUAGAGAAAAAUAGACCAAAAAAAAAAAAGAAUAUUCUAGAAUAACAGGCAAAAUUUAUAAAUAAUAGAGAAAAAUGGUCAAAAAUUAGGAAUACAGAAAUGAAGAACCCCCAUCCAGACCCUCAUACAUGUACAUUUGUAAUACAGACAUUGAAUAUGACAUGUUGUUCAUACAUUUGUAAUACAGACAUUGAAAAGGACAUGUUGUUCAUACAUUUGUAAUACAGACAUUGAAUAGGACAUGUUCAUACAGUUGUAAUUUUUGUUUUCAGUCAUUUUUUUUUCUAGUUAAAAAGCAUUAUGUCUGAUUUCAGUUUUCAAAUAAAUUUAUUGAUAAAUAGAAGGUACAUAUAAUGUACAACAUAUAAUAAUUUUAAGAUAUCAUGUCAUAGUUUAAUAAAAAUUAUUGGUGCAAAUUAUAUUUACACAGCACUAUAUGGCCAUGGUUGACAGACAUGAUCUGCAUUUGUGUUGAUAUUACAGGUAUCCAUUGUGCAUGUUUUUAAUACCUUUGUUUAUGUAGUGAGUAGGGAUUUUGUACUGUUAAAAAUUUUACUUGUACAGUAAAAGCAAUUUGCAGAUCAAGUUUGUCAAAAAAGUGUUUUAUUUUGAGGAUAUUAUUUAUACAAAAUAAACAAAAUAUCCAAAGAUUCAUAAA